rnacentral:rRNA from 1 species
GACGAACGCUGGCGGCGCGCCUAAUACAUGCAAGUCGAACGGGUCUCCUUCGGGAGGUCAGUGGCGGACGGGUGAGUAACACGUGGGUAACCUGCCCUGAUGAUCGGGACAACCCGGGGAAACCCGGGCUAAUACCGAAUGUGCCCGCAAGCUCCAAGGCUUGCGAGGAAAGGAAGCUUCGGCCUCCGCAUCGGGAUGGGCCCGCGGCCCAUUAGCUUGUUGGUGGGGUGAUGGCCUACCAAGGCGACGACGGGAGCCGGCCUGAGAGGCGACCGGCCACACUGGGACUGAGACACGGCCCAGACUCCUACGGGAGGCAGCAGUGGGGAAUCUUGCGCAAUGGGCGAAAGCCUGACGCAGCGACGCCGCGUGAGGGAUGACGGCCU